rnacentral:rRNA from 1 species
GAUGAACGCUGGCGGCGUGCCUAAUACAUGCAAGUCGAGCGAACGGACGCGAAGCUUGCUUUUCUGAUGUUAGCGGCGGACGGGGGAGUAACACGUGGAUAACCUCCCUAUAAGACUGGGAUAACUUCGGGAAACCGGAGCUAAUACCGGAUAAUAUUUUGAACCGCAUGGUUCAAAAGUGAAAGACGGUCUUGCUGUCACUUAUAGAUGGAUCCGCGCUGCAUUAGCUAGUUGGUAAGGUAACGGCUUACCAAGGCAACGAUGCAUAGCCGACCUGAGAGGGGGAUCGGCCACACUGGAACUGAGACACGGUCCAGACUCCUACGGGAGGCAGCAGUAGGGAAUCUUCCGCAAUGGGCGAAAGCCUGACGGAGCAACGCCGCGUGAGUGAUGAAGGUCUUCGGAUCGUAAAACUCUGUUAUUAGGGAAGAACAUAUGUGUAAGUAACUGUGCACAGCUUGACGGUACCUAAUCAGAAAGCCACGGCUAACUACGUG